AGUGAACGCUGGCGGUAGGCCUAACACAUGCAAGUCGAACGGCAGCACAGUAAGAGCUUGCUCUUACGGGUGGCGAGUGGCGGACGGGUGGGGAAUACAUCGGAAUCUACUCUGUCGUGGGGGAUAACGUAGGGAAACUUACGCUAAUACCGCAUACGACCUAAGGGUGAAAGCAGGGGACCGCAAGGCCUUGCGCGAUUGAAUGAGCCGAUGUCGGAUUAGCUAGUUGGCGGGGUAAAGGCCCACCAAGGCGACGAUCCGUAGCUGGUCUGAGAGGAUGAUCAGCCACACUGGAACUGAGACACGGUCCAGACUCCUACGGGAGGCGGCAGUGGGGAAUAUUGGACAAUGGGCGCAAGCCCGAUCCAGCCAUACCGCGUGAGUGAAGAAGGCCCUCGGGUUGUAAAGCUCUUUUGUUGGGAAAGAAAUCCUGUUGGUUAAUACCUGGGUGUCCUGACGGUACCGGAAGAAUAAGCACCGGCUAACUUCGUGCCAGCAGCCGCCGUAAAAC
rnacentral:rRNA from 1 species